AUGUACGCCUUCGCGCGCGGUUCGCAGCCACACGUCUGCCCCGUCUCCUCCCCUCCUACAGUCCACCACUCUACUGCAUCGCUACCACGCUCACCUCGCAUCGCCAGCGCCCGUUUCAGCAGAUACAGGAACCACACCGCGCGCGCCUACCGGCGGGGCACCGGAGCGCCGGACAUGUCGGCCGCCGGCGACAGGGAUCUGCGGGAGCUGGCGCCGCUGGAGGCCAUCCUGUUCGACAUCGACGGCACCCUCUGCGACUCGGAUCCCUUCCACUUCCUCGCCUUCCGCGAGCUGCUGCAGGAGGUUGGUUUCAACAAUGGAGUCCCCAUCACCGAGGAGUUCUACAGCGCCAACAUCAGCGGGUGGCACAACGACGCCCUCGCCGGCGCUCUGUUCCCGGAGCUCGACCACGCCAAGGGCAUGGAGUUCAUGGAUCGCAAGGAAGCCCUGUUCAGAAAGUUGGCAGCAGGAGAGCUCAAGGGACUGGCGGGAUUGCAGGAACUGUGCACAUGGAUCGAAGGCCGCAACCUGAAGCGGGCGGCGGUGACGAACGCGCCGAGGGCGAACGCGGAGCUCGUGCUGUCGCUCCUCGGCCUCACCAGCUUCUUCCCGGUGCUCGUCAUCGGGAGCGAGUGCGAGCGGGCCAAGCCGUCCCCGGACCCGUACCUCAAGGCCCUCGACCUCAUCGGCGCGUCGCCCGAUUACACGUUCAUCUUCGAGGAUUCCGCGUCCGGGAUCCGGGCCGGCGUCGCCGCCGGCGUGGCCGUGGUGGGCCUGACCACCGGGAACCCGGAGAAGGUGCUGAGGGACGCGGGGGCGAGCCUGCUGAUCGGGGAUUUCCGGGACCCGAAGCUGAUGGCCAUGCUUCAGGAGCUAGACCCUGCAGCUGCAGAUAAGCAAGGCUGA
rnacentral:rRNA from 1 species